AAUCUGGUUUAAGCCACUGGUCUGAUAUUCGUCGGACUGGGAAGGCUUAUUAAGAUUGGGAAUGUGGUGAGAUUCCACAGCUAUGCCGUAGCGGUAAUGUACUACUAUCCUGAGCGAAGUCGAAGGAUUCGUAGAACUCAGCCCGAAGACCGACCAGAUACUGUACCUCGAG
rnacentral:ncRNA from 2 species